rnacentral:ncRNA from 1 species
GUGCGGUGACAAAAUCCAGCGGAUUUUGAACGUCGGCUUUCCCGACGGCCCCGUGAGGGGUGAACAAGCGAACUUGUGAAUAAAAUUUUAUGUG